GAUUAUUUGAUCAGAUAAAUGUUAUACAGUUUUUAGGGUAUUAACUCUAACUAAAUAGAUGAUAAUCUAUUAAAGAUUAUGUGGUUACUAUAGCAAAGAGGAUACACCUGUUCCCAUUCCGAACACAGAAGUUAAGCUCUUUAGCGCCGAUGGUACUUGGUGGGAAGCUGCCUGGGAGAGUAGGACGUAGCCNGUCCCUAAAUGUAAGUUAAGUGGUAAAGGAUGUGGGAUUGCAUAGACAACCAGGAUGUUGGCUUAGAAGCAGCCACUCAUUUAAAGAGUGCGUAAUAGCUCACUGGUCGAGUGAUCCUGCGCCGAAGAUUACCGGGGCUAAAACUUACUACCGAAGCUACGAUAUCAUUUAUGAUAGGUAGGGGAGCUUCCUAUGCAGGCUGAAGCAUGACCGUAAGGACAUGUGGACAGUAUAGGAGUGAGAAUGUUGGCAUGAGUAGCGAGACGUGGGUGAGAAUCCCACGGGCCGUAAACCCAAGGUUUCCAGGGGAAGGUUCGUCCGCCCUGGGUUAGUCGGGACCUAAGCCGAGGCCGAAAGGCGUAGGUGAUGGACAACAGGUUGAGAUUCCUGUACCACCGAUAAUCGCUUGAGAGAAGGAAUGACACAGUAGGAUAAGCUAACCACACUGUUGGUUAUGUGUGGCUAAGUACUGAGGCAGUCAAGGUAGGCAAAUCCGCCUUGAUAAUGCUGGGGUACGAUGGGGAGCGAAAUUAAGUAGCGAAGUAGCUGAUUUCACACUGUCGAGAAAAGUUUCUAUCGAGAUUAAAGGUGCCCGUACCGCAAACCGACACAGGUGGGUGAGGAGAGUAUCCUAAGGCCAGCGAGAGAACUGUUGUUAAGGAACUCGGCAAAAUGACCCCGUAACUUAGGGAGAAGGGGUGCCACGUUAGGGUUAACGCCCGAGGUGGCCGCAGAGAAUAGGCCCAAGCGACUGUUUACCAAAAACACAGGUUUCUGCUAAGUCGCAAGACGAUGUAUAGGAGCUGACGCCUGCCCGGUGCUGGAAGGUUAAGGGGAUCUGUUAGGAUUUAUCCGAAGCAGUGAACUUAAGCCCCAGUAAACGGCGGCCGUAACUAUAACGGUCCUAAGGUAGCGAAAUUCCUUGUCGGGUAAGUUCCGACCCGCACGAAAGGCGUAACGAUUUGGGCACUGUCUCAACAACAGACUCGGUGAAAUUGUAAUCCCGGUGAAGAUGCCGGGUACCUGCGACAGGACGGAAAGACCCCAUGGAGCUUUACUGUAGCUUGACAUUGAAUUUUGGUGCUACAUGUACAGGAUAGGUGGGAGGCUAUGAAGUCGGGACGCCAGUCUCGGCGGAGCCAUCCUUGGGAUACCACCCUUGUAGUACUGAGAUUCUAACCAGAUACCUUGAAUCAGGUAUUGGGACACUGUCAGGUGGGCAGUUUGACUGGGGCGGUCGCCUCCCAAAGAGUAACGGAGGCGCUCAAAGGUUCUCUCAGCACGGUCGGAAAUCGUGCGUAGAGUGUAAAGGCAGAAGAGAGCUUGAUUGCAAGACAUACAGGUCGAGCAAGGACGAAAGUCGGACUUAGUGAUCCGGUGGUUCCGCAUGGAAGGGCCAUCGCUCAACGGAUAAAAGCUACCCUGGGGAUAACAGGCUUAUCUCCCCCAAGAGUCCACAUCGACGGGGAGGUUUGGCACCUCGAUGUCGGCUCAUCACAUCCUGGGGCUGUAGUAGGUCCCAAGGGUUGGGCUGUUCGCCCAUUAAAGUGGUACGCGAGCUGGGUUCAGAACGUCGUGAGACAGUUCGGUCCCUAUCCGUCGCAGGCGUAGGAAAUUUGAGGAGACCUGUCCUUAGUACGAGAGGACCGGGAUGGACGUACCUCUGGUGUACCAGUUGUUCUGCCAAGGGCAUGGCUGGGUAGCUAUGUACGGAAUGGAUAAGCGCUGAAAGCAUCUAAGCGCGAAGCCAACUUCAAGAUAAGAUUUCCCACCGUAAGGGUAAGAUCCCAGGAAGACUACCUGGUUGAUAGGUCAAAGGUGUAAGUGCAGCAAUGCAUGUAGCUUAUUGAUACUAAUAGAUCGAGGACUUGACCAA
rnacentral:rRNA from 1 species